UUGGGGAAUUUUCCGCAAUGGGCGAAAGCCUGACGGAGCAACGCCGCGUGAGGGAGGAAGGUCUUUGGAUUGUAAACCUCUUUUCUCAAGGAAGAAGUUCUGAUGGUACUUGAGGAAUCAGCCUCGGCUAACUCCAUGCCAGCAGCCGCGGUAAUACGGGGGAGGCAAGCGUUAUCCGGAAUUAUUGGGCGUAAAGCGUCCGCAGGUGGUCAGCCAAGUCUGCCGUCAAAUCAGGUUGCUUAACGACCUAAAGGCGGUGGAAACUGGCAGACUCGAGAGCAGUAGGGGUAGCAGGAAUUCCCAGUGUAGCGGUGAAAUGCGUAGAGAUUGGGAAGAACAUCGGUGGCGAAAGCGUGCUACUGGGCUGUAUCUGACACUCAGGGACGAAAGCUAGGGGAGCGAAAGGGAUUAGAUACCCCUGUAGUC
rnacentral:rRNA from 1 species